AUCUGUCUGGCUCAGUUGGUAGAGCAUGUGACUCUUGAUCUUGGAGUCAUGGUAUCAAGCUCCAUGUUGGAUG
rnacentral:tRNA from 1 species